GACGAACGCUGGCGGCGUGCUUAACACAUGCAAGUCGAACGGAAAGGCCCUGCUUUUGUGGGGUGCUCGAGUGGCGAACGGGUGAGUAACACGUGAGUAACCUGCCCUUGACUUUGGGAUAACUUCAGGAAACUGGGGCUAAUACCGGAUAGGAGCUCCUGCUGCAUGGUGGGGGUUGGAAAGUUUCGGCGGUUGGGGAUGGACUCGCGGCUUAUCAGCUUGUUGGUGGGGUAGUGGCUUACCAAGGCUUUGACGGGUAGCCGGCCUGAGAGGGUGACCGGCCACAUUGGGCCUGCGAUACGGCCCAGACUCCUACGGGAGGCAGCAGUGGGGAAUAUUGCACAAUGGGCGGAAGCCUGAUGCAGCAACGCCGCGUGCGGGAUGACGGCCUUCGGGUUGUAAACCGCUUUCGCUUGUGACGAAGCGUGAGUGACGGUAAUGGGUAAAGAAGCACCGGCUAACUACGUG
rnacentral:rRNA from 1 species